CCUACGGGCAGCAGUAAGGAAUAUUGGUCAAUGGGCGCAAGCCUGAACCAGCCAUGCCGCGUGCAGGAUGACGGCCCUCUGGGUUGUAAACUGCUUUUAUACGGGAAGAACAGCAUCUACGUGUAGGUGUUUGACGGUACUGUAAGAAUAAGGACCGGCUAACUUCGUGCCAGCAGCCGCGGUAAUACGAAGGGUCCAAGCGUUAUCCGGAUUUAUUGGGUUUAAAGGGUGCGUAGGCGGCUUUUUAAGUCAGUGGUGAAAGCCUGAUGCUCAACAUCAGAACUGCCAUUGAUACUGAAGAGCUUGAGUACAGUUGAGGUUGGCGGAAUGUGUCAUGUAGCGGUGAAAUGCUUAGAUAUGACACAGAACACCGAUUGCGAAGGCAGCUAGCUAAGCUGUUACUGACGCUGAUGCACGAAAGCGUGGGGAGCAAACAGGAUUAGAUACCCUGGUAGUCCACGCCCUAAACGUUGAUAACUCGUUGUUAGCGAUAUACUAGUUAGUCGACCGAACGACGAACGACAUUAAGUUAAUACCACCUACGGAAGGUACGGUACGCGAGAGUAGUAACGUACGAAGAAAGUUAGUACGGACGUAGAGACGNGCGACGGACGACGACGAGGGAGGAGG
rnacentral:rRNA from 1 species